GACGAACGCUGGCGGCGUGCCUAAUACAUGCAAGUAGAACGCUGAAGGAGGAGCUUGCUUCUCCGGAUGAGUUGCGAACGGGUGAGUAACGCGUAGGUAACCUGCCUGGUAGCGGGGGAUAACUAUUGGAAACGAUAGCUAAUACCGCAUAAGAGUAGAUGUUGCAUGACAUUUGCUUAAAAGGUGCAAUUGCAUCACUACCAGAUGGACCUGCGUUGUAUUAGCUAGUUGGUGGGGUAACGGCUCACCAAGGCGACGAUACAUAGCCGACCUGAGAGGGUGAUCGGCCACACUGGGACUGAGACACGGCCCAGACUCCUACGGGAGGCAGCAGUAGGGAAUCUUCGGCAAUGGACGGAAGGCUGACCUAGCAACGCCGCGUGAGUGAAGAAGGUUUUCGGAUCGUAAAGCUCUGUUGUAAGAGAAGAACGAGUGUGAGAGUGGAAAGUUCACACUGUGACGGUAUCUUACCAGAAAGGGACGGCUAACUACGUG
rnacentral:rRNA from 1 species